rnacentral:rRNA from 1 species
UUCCCCUGUACCAUUGUACUUUUACGUGCAGACCAAAUCGUUUAAGUGUUUAGCUUAGCUUGUAACAUUAAUUCUGACUUCUUGUAAUAUGAUGGAACCAGCCUCCGCCGACUAGCUAGUUAACCUCCUAAACCUACCCGUAUCUUGGCAUCCCUCAAACGCUAACCGUAAACGUUCACGUACUAAAUUGCAUAGCAUACUCAAUUAUUUAAUGAUCCUUUCUUCCGUAGGGGAACCUGCGGAAGGAUCAUUAAAUAAUUUGAGUAUGCUUAUGCAUAUUUCUAAUUUACUGUGAACUGUUUUACUGUUUAGCGUUUUGAGGGAUUGCCUAAAGAUUAUAGGGAUAGGUCUUUAGGAUGUUAACCUAGCUAAAGUCAGGCUUAGGCCUGGUAUCCUAAUUCAUUAUUUACCAAAAGAAUUCAGAAUUAAUAUUGUAACAUAAGCGUAAAAAACUUAUAAAACAACUUUUAACAACGGAUCUCUUGGUUCUCGCAUCGAUGAAGAACGUAGCAAAGUGCGAUAACUAGUGUGAAUUGCAUAUUCAGUGAAUCAUCGAGUCUUUGAACGCAUCUUGCGCUCAAUGGUAUUCCAUUGAGCACGCCUGUUUCAGUAUCAACAACAACCCACAUCCACAAUUUUGUUGUGAAUGGAAGUGAGAGUAUCGAUGUAAAAAUUGAACUCUUUAAAACUAUUAGGCCUGAACUAUUGUUCUAUUAGCCUGAACAUUUUUUUAAUAUAAAGGAAUGCUCUAGUUAAAAGACUAUCUUGGGGGCCUCCCAAAUAAAUCAUUUUUUUAAACUUGAUCUGAAAUCAGGUGGGAUUACCCGCUGAACUUAAGCA